GGCAAAACUGGAGAAAUAUUCAUAGCUGUCUCUAUUAACAGUGGAGUUCUGAUUGGUUCUCGCCAUCUUGCGGAGGGAUCGGGUACCAAUCUAAUGUUUCACUGACUGCCAGCCUUUGUUUGCGAGCAGCCAUUACUACUGCGGCAUCGAGUUUUUGUCUUGUCAAAACUGGUUCAACAAUAUCAUCUGUACUACAGUCCAUUUCAUCCAGUGAGUUUAUCCUCUUUCAAAUUGAUUAUUUUCAUCAGCAUCAAGUGCAAUCAUGCCAAGGAAGAGUGUUAAACUUUCGACAACUGCAGAGUCACACAG